GCCAGCAUGGUGUAGUGGUUUGAGCUUUGGACUACAAUUCUGGAGGCCAGGGUUUGAUUCCCUUCUCGGCC